rnacentral:rRNA from 1 species
UGGGGAAUAUUGCACAAUGGGCGAAAGCCUGAUGCAGCAACGCCGCGUGAGUGAUGAAGGCCUUCGGGUUGUAAAGCUCUGUCUUUUGGGACGAUAAUGACGGUACCAAAGGAGGAAGCCACGGCUAACUACGUGCCAGCAGCCGCGGUAAUACGUAGGUGGCAAGCGUUGUCCGGAUUUACUGGGCGUAAAGGAUGCGUAGGCGGAUUUUUAAGUGAGAUGUGAAAACCCUAAGCUUAACUUGGGGACUGCAUUUCAUACUGGAAAUCUAGAGUGCGGGAGAGGAGAAUGGAAUUCCUAGUGUAGCGGUGAAAUGCGUAGAGAUUAGGAAGAACACCAGUGGCGAAGGCGAUUCUCUGGACCGUAACUGACGCUGAGGCAUGAAAGCGUGGGUAGCAAACAGGAUUAGAUACCCUGGUAGUCCACGCCGUAAACGAUGAGUACUAGGUGUAGGAGGUAUCGACCCCUUCUGUGCCGCAGUUAACACAAUAAGUACUCCGCCUGGGAAGUACGAUCGCAAGAUUAAAACUCAAAUGAAUUG